rnacentral:ncRNA from 2 species
AGGCAUUUACUAACUGGAAAUGCUUAAAUGAAUUAGCGUUACAAGUGGGCUCUGACCGGUAAGCGGUCAUGGCGAAAUGGGAUGAACCAUACGUCUGAAUAAGGUGCCGAAAUGUACUAUCACUGAUACCAUAAAGGGAGUCCAUGUAUUUAGACAGCAGGUCGGUGCCCCUAAAAGCAGGUAUCCGCUAAAGAGUGUGUUAAAACUCACCUGCCGAAUACUAGGGCCCCGAAAAUGAAUGGCGCAUAUAGUACUACCGAUCUCAGACAUCAGUUCUAUUGAACUGAGAGUAGGGGGAUGUGGACAUUUUUGUGAAGGUGCAAUGUGAGUUGGACUGGAAGAAUGUCUAUUACAGAUCCUAAUUGAAGUAGCGAUUAUCCAGGCUUGUAUCCUGGGGGCUGAUGAGGAGUAGGGUUUCUGGACAACUUAAACAGAUCCAGAGUUAGUCGAUCCUAAUCUCAAUAAUGGGAGAAAGGGAGUACAGUUGAUAUUCUGUAACUGACAACAGUUCGCGGCAACGCAUACUAUUUUUCUCCGCCAAUCUUAUACCGUUGGUAGGGAUCUCUUUCCUACAUGACAGUACUAAUACCCAGGGAAACUGGUCAUCAGGCGAACUGCGGCGUUCUGCUGGCAAAACAUAGCUUCGGUUAUGUCAAUGGCUAUUGGAUUGGUCCAUGAAGCGAAAAAUAGUUUACUGUGUCACUCGUACCGAUAACCGCAUCAGGUCUUCUAGGUAAGUAGCCUAUGGCCAUUGAGGCAUGAUAGUUCAGGGAAUUCGGCCAAUUAGAGCUGUAACUUCGGGAUAAAGCUUGGCUCUGAUGAAAAUCAGAACCGAUUGUUACGCGGAGAGCCCAACUGUUUAAUAAAAACGUAGUGUCGCGCUGUGGUAGUAUAGCCAGUGAACGCGACAUGAAUCCUGCUCAGUGCUGUGUCUGUUAAUAUGGUUCAAGCCAACGAAGCACCGGUAAAUAGCUGGGGUAACUAUGACUCUUAUCAAAGUAGCG